AACGAACGCUGGCGGCAUGCCUAACACAUGCAAGUCGAACGAGAUCUUCGGGUCUAGUGGCGCACGGGUGCGUAACGCGUGGGAAUCUGCCCUUUGGUUCGGAAUAACAGUUGGAAACGACUGCUAAUACCGGAUGAUGACGAAAGUCCAAAGAUUUAUCGCCAGAGGAUGAGCCCGCGUAGGAUUAGCUAGUUGGUGUGGUAAAGGCGCACCAAGGCGACGAUACUUAGCUGGUCUGAGAGGAUGAUCAGCCACACUGGGACUGAGACACGGGCCAGACUCCUACGGGAGGCAGCAGUGGGGAAUAUUGGACAAUGGGCGAAAGCCUGAUCCAGCAAUGCCGCGUGAGUGAUGAAGGCCUUAGGGUUGUAAAGCUCUUUUACCCGGGAUGAUAAUGACAGUACCGGGAGAAUAAGCUCCGGCUAACUCCGUGCCAGCCGCCGCGGUAA
rnacentral:rRNA from 1 species